CACUAUCGUUAACUGAAUACAUAGGUUAACGAGGCGAACCGGGGGAACUGAAACAUCUAAGUACCCCGAGGAAAAGAAAUCAACCGAGAUUCCCCCAGUAGCGGCGAGCGAACGGGGAGCAGCCCAGAGUCUGAAUCAGCUUGUGUGUUAGUGGAACGGUCUGGAAAGUCCGACGGUACAGGGUGAUAGUCCCGUACACCAAAAUGCACAGGCUGUGAACUCGAAGAGUAGGGCGGGACACGUGGUAUCCUGUCUGAAUAUGGGGGGACCAUCCUCCAAGGCUAAAUACUCCUGACUGACCGAUAGUGAACCAGUACCGUGAGGGAAAGGCGAAAAGAACCCCGGCGAGGGGAGUGAAAAAGAACCUGAAACCGUGUACGUACAAGCAGUGGGAGCACCUUCGGGUGUGACUGCGUACCUUUUGUAUAAUGGGUCAGCGACUUAUAUUCUGUAGCAAGGUUAACCGUAUAGGGGAGCCGCAGGGAAACCGAGUCUUAACUGGGCGUUAAGUUGCAGGGUAUAGACCCGAAACCCGGUGAUCUAGCCAUGGGCAGGUUGAAGGUUGGGUAACACUAACUGGAGGACCGAACCGACUAAUGUUGAAAAAUUAGCGGAUGACUUGUGGCUGGGGGUGAAAGGCCAAUCAAACCGGGAGAUAGCUGGUUCUCCCCGAAAGCUAUUUAGGUAGCGCCUCGUGAAUUCAUCUUCGGGGGUAGAGCACUGUUUCGGCUAGGGGGUCAUCCCGACUUACCAACCCGAUGCAAACUACGAAUACCGAAGAAUGUUAUCACGGGAGACACACGGCGGGUGCUAACGUCCGUCGUGAAGAGGGAAACAACCCAGACCGCCAGCUAAGGUCCCAAAGUCAUGGUUAAGUGGGAAACGAUGUGGGAAGGCACAGACAGCCAGGAUGUUGGCUUAGAAGCAGCCAUCAUUUAAAGAAAGCGUAAUAGCUCACUGGUCGAGUCGGCCUGCGCGGAAGAUGUAACGGGGCUAAACCAUGCACCGAAGCUGCGGCAGCGACACUAUGUGUUGUUGGGUAGGGGAGCGUUCUGUAAGCCUGCGAAGGUGACCUGUGAGGGUUGCUGGAGGUAUCAGAAGUGCGAAUGCUGACAUAAGUAACGAUAAAGCGGGUGAAAAGCCCGCUCGCCGGAAGACCAAGGGUUCCUGUCCAACGUUAAUCGGGGCAGGGUGAGUCGACCCCUAAGGCGAGGCCGAAAGGCGUAGUCGAUGGGAAACAGGUUAAUAUUCCUGUACUUGGUGUUACUGCGAAGGGGGGACGGAGAAGGCUAUGUUAGCCGGGCGACGGUUGUCCCGGUUUAAGCAUGUAGGCUGGUUGUCCAGGCAAAUCCGGAUAAUCAAGGCUGAGGUGUGAUGACGAGGUACNNNNNNNNNNNNNNNNNNNNNNNNNNNNNNNNNNNNNNNNNNNNNNNNNNNNNNNNNNNNNNNNNNNNNNNNNNNNNNNNNNNNNNNNNNNNNNNNCACUACGGUGCUGAAGUAACAAAUGCCCUGCUUCCAGGAAAAGCCUCUAAGCAUCAGGUAACAUCAAAUCGUACCCCAAACCGACACAGGUGGUCAGGUAGAGAAUACCAAGGCGCUUGAGAGAACUCGGGUGAAGGAACUAGGCAAAAUGGUGCCGUAACUUCGGGAGAAGGCACGCUGGUGUGUAGGUGAAGUCCCUGCGGAUGGAGCUGAGACCAGUCGAAGAUACCAGCUGGCUGCAACUGUUUAUUAAAAACACAGCACUGUGCAAACACGAAAGUGGACGUAUACGGUGUGACGCCUGCCCGGUGCCGGAAGGUUAAUUGAUGGGGUUAUCCGUAAGGAGAAGCUCUUGAUCGAAGCCCCGGUAAACGGCGGCCGUAACUAUAACGGUCCUAAGGUAGCGAAAUUCCUUGUCGGGUAAGUUCCGACCUGCACGAAUGGCGUAAUGAUGGCCAGGCUGUCUCCACCCGAGACUCAGUGAAAUUGAACUCGCUGUGAAGAUGCAGUGUACCCGCGGCAAGACGGAAAGACCCCGUGAACCUUUACUAUAGCUUGACACUGAACAUUGAGCCUUGAUGUGUAGGAUAGGUGGGAGGCUUUGAAGCGUGGACGCCAGUCUGCGUGGAGCCAACCUUGAAAUACCACCCUUUAAUGUUUGAUGUUCUAACGUUGGCCCCUGACCGGGGUUGCGGACAGUGUCUGGUGGGUAGUUUGACUGGGGCGGUCUCCUCCCAAAGCGUAACGGAGGAGCACGAAGGUUAGCUAAUCCUGGUCGGACAUCAGGAGGUUAGUGCAAUGGCAUAAGCUAGCUUGACUGCGAGCGUGACGGCGCGAGCAGGUGCGAAAGCAGGUCAUAGUGAUCCGGUGGUUCUGAAUGGAAGGGCCAUCGCUCAACGGAUAAAAGGUACUCCGGGGAUAACAGGCUGAUACCGCCCAAGAGUUCAUAUCGACGGCGGUGUUUGGCACCUCGAUGUCGGCUCAUCACAUCCUGGGGCUGAAGUAGGUCCCAAGGGUAUGGCUGUUCGCCAUUUAAAGUGGUACGCGAGCUGGGUUUAGAACGUCGUGAGACAGUUCGGUCCCUAUCUGCCGUGGGCGCUGGAGAAUUGAGGGGGGCUGCUCCUAGUACGAGAGGACCGGAGUGGACGCAUCACUGGUGUUCGGGUUGUCAUGCCAAUGGCACUGCCCGGUAGCUAAAUGCGGAAGAGAUAAGUGCUGAAAGCAUCUAAGCACGAAACUUGCCCCGAGAUGAGUUCUCCCUGAGACUUUAAGUCUCCUGAAGGAACGUU
rnacentral:rRNA from 1 species